GCGGCCAUUUUAACUCACAGACACUGUUUGGACUUUUCUACACAGUGCCAUCUCGCCGGUAUUUGGUGCACAAAGACAUCGUGCAGUAGUUUUAAACUAUACAACAGGGGACACAUUAUACAGUAAUUAUUUUUCAUAUAGCCUGUAUAUGUUCUGCGGAAUCUUUUUAUGGGGUUAUUGCAUGUUUUGGGGUCCCUGUGAUAUGUUUUAUAAUACUGCAGAGGGGAGGAUUUUGUGUGGGAGUGUCUGUGUGUAUUGUACGGAUUGAUUGGUUGUAUUUCAAAACCCUGUGGGCAGUACUAUGUUUGUGGAUUGUGAAUAAAAGAGGCUGUAUGUGCCAGUACAGUCAGUUCUGCUUGAC